rnacentral:rRNA from 1 species
GACGAACGCUGGCGGCGUGCCUAAUACAUGCAAGUAGAACGCUGAAGGAGGAGCUUGCUUCUCUGGAUGAGUUGCGAACGGGUGAGUAACGCGUAGGUAACCUGCCUGGUAGCGGGGGAUAACUAUUGGAAACGAUAGCUAAUACCGCAUAAUAGUAGAUGUUGCAUGACAUUUGCUUAAAAGGUGCAAUUGCAUAACUACCAGAUGGACCUGCGUUGUAUUAGCUAGUUGGUGAGGUAACGGCUCACCAAGGCGACGAUACAUAGCCGACCUGAGAGGGGGAUCGGCCACACUGGGACUGAGACACGGCCCAGACUCCUACGGGAGGCAGCAGUAGGGAAUCUUCGGCAAUGGACGGAAGUCUGACCGAGCAACGCCGCGUGAGUGAAGAAGGUUUUCGGAUCGUAAAGCUCUGUUGUAAGAGAAGAACGAGUGUGAGAGUGGAAAGUUCACACUGUGACGGUAUCUUACCAGAAAGGGACGGCUAACUACGUG